UAUAUCUACAGAAAUCCUAAAGAUGUUUUGGUUUCCUUUUAUCAUUUUUCAAAUUGGGUGUCUCGAUUAAAGCCUUCUGAUACUUUUGAGAAUUUUAUGGAAAUGUUUCUAGAUGGACAAGUGGUGGGAAGUCGUUGGUUUGAUCACAUAAGAGGCUGGUAUGAACACAGACAUGACUUCAAUAUUCAGUUCAUGAGCUA